rnacentral:rRNA from 1 species
UGCCAGCCGCCGCGGUAAUACGUAGGGGGCAAGCGUUGUCCGGAUUUAUUGGGCGUAAAGCGCGUGUAGGCGGCUUGGCAAGUCCGCUGUGAAAACUCGAGGCUCAACCUCGAGAUGUCGGUGGAAACUGCCUGGCUAGAGUCCGGAAGAGGAGUGUGGAAUUCCUGGUGUAGCGGUGAAAUGCGCAGAUAUCAGGAAGAACACCUAUGGCGAAGGCAGCACUCUGGGACGGUACUGACGCUGAGACGCGAAAGCGUGGGGAGCGAACAGGAUUAGAUA